CCUACGGGUGGCAGCAGUGGGGAAUAUUGCACAAUGGGGGAAACCCUGAUGCAGCGACGCCGCGUGAGUGAAGAAGGAUGUCGGGAUGUAAAGCUCUAUCAGCAGGGAAGAAAAGGACGGUACCUGAGUAAGAAGCCCCGGCUAACUACGUGCCAGCAGCCGCGGUAAUACGUAGGGGGCAAGCGUUAUCCGGAUUUACUGGGUGUAAAGGGAGCGUAGACGGCAGCGCAAGUCUGAAGUGAAAUGCCGGGGCUCAACCCCGGAACUGCUUUGGAAACUGUGCAGCUAGAGUGCAGGAGAGGUAAGUGGACUUCCUAGUGUAGCGGUGAACUGCGUAGAUAUUAGGCGGAACACCAGUGGCGACGGCGGCUUACUGGACUGUAACUGCCGUUGCGGCUC
rnacentral:rRNA from 1 species